rnacentral:lncRNA from 1 species
AUGAAAUCCAUAAUCCUUACAGGAUUGCUUACUCCAUCUGAGGUUUUGUUACAUCCAGCAAUUUUCAGGAUUCACUGUUAUGAUCCCCACUGCAGCUAUGACUCUCUUCAAGAUACAUAUUUUCUCUGGCUAUAUAACAACUCUUCAGCUUUAAGAGCAUUUUCUCAGCACUGUUUUAACUACUGCAGCACAGCUCGAAAUACCAUCAAGAUGAGCAGCUCUGUGCCUGUGUGGCUUCUGGGCUGUUCAAGGGUGGUUCCUGUGCUGAAGCUGUGCCAUAUGACUGGUGAGGAGGCUGUUGGUACCUGGCCAAGUGAAGCAGAACCAGGAGGGGCUGCUGGGGCUGCUAUUUGCUGAAACUUGGAUUCACUCUCUUGGAAGAUUCCUGGAUCUGACAUUAAGUGAAUACUGCCAUCUCCUGCUUGUAAAAUGCCCAGGAUCACCUGCACCCUUCAGCUCUCUGAGGUGUGAAUGGAUGUUUAGGUAUUAGUAUCUGCAGCUGAGGAAAUUGGCUGCUUGGCUCUUGCUUUUUGCCACUGUUCAUAUAAUUUCAAAGGCAGCUUCAACAUGAAACAUUGAAGACUUUAAAGAUGAAGACUAAAAAUAAUGUAUGGCAGAGACACCAUGGUGUGAUUAAUAACUAUUCUGCUAUUUUUAUUAAUUUACUACCAUGGCUCCUGUUAGAUGUUAUGUGAAUUUGUAGUGGAGUCACACUUUAUAAACAGACUUCUGGAAAAAUUGAAAAGUCUUCACAGAAUAGCAAACAGUGAUAAGAUUGCAAUGAUAUUUUUUUUGUUUUGCAUUUAAAAUGAACCACACCUUUCCCAGGUAUUGGCUUUCAGGCUUUUCUUCCUUUUGUGGUGGCAUAUUUUGAAUGUGUUCUUCAGUUCUUUUCUGAUAGGUGAUACUUAUUUGAAACCCUUUGGUACUUUUGAGCGUGAUAAAGGCUUGUUAGUUUGCUUUUGGGAAGAGUUACCCAAAUUGCUCCUACAGAAGAGCUGGACACAAUUGAUGUUUUCUUCUCCUCUUGUGUAGCUAGGGAGUAUUUUUGGUGCCAUUUGGUGCAUAACCUCAUUGCAGGUAUCAUUUUGUUUCAGUAGUUUCUGCAUAUAUAGGAAAGUAUAAAUUAAUGUUUGAUUACUGUUAAAUUAUUUAUAAUGUUGACUGAAAUUAUGGAAAACUAUUUUUCCUCUCAAUAGAGUAGAUUAAUCUGUUAAAAGACCUGUGCUUUUCACUUCCUUGUGCCAGCCACCAGUAUUGGAAGGAGGGGAGAUGAAGAAUUACCUCUGCAAAACUUAAGGUCUGUGUUUGGGAAUUAGCAUUUGGAAUACAGGACCUGCCAUUGUAACAUGGCACA